rnacentral:rRNA from 1 species
UACGUAGGUGGCAAGCGUUGUCCGGAUUUAUUGGGUUUAAAGGGUGCGUAGGCGGCUUAUUAAGUCAGUGGUGAAAUACUCUAGCUCAACUAGAGGGGUGCCAUUGAUACUGAUGAGCUUGAGUACAGAUGAGGUAGGCGGAAUUGACGGUGUAGCGGUGAAAUGCUUAGAUAUCGUCAAGAACACCUAUAGCGAAGGCAGCUUACUAGGCUGUAACUGACGCUGAGGCACGAAAGUGUGGGGGAGUC